GACGAACGCUGGCGGCGUGCUUAACACAUGCAAGUCGAACGGAAAGGCCCUGCUUUUGUGGGGUGCUCGAGUGGCGAACGGGUGAGUAACACGUGAGUAACCUGCCCUUGACUUUGGGAUAACUUCAGGAAACUGGGGCUAAUACCGGAUAGGAGCUCCUGCUGCAUGGUGGGGGUUGGAAAGUUUCGGCGGUUGGGGAUGGACUCGCGGCUUAUCAGCUUGUUGGUGGGGUAGUGGCUUACCAAGGCUUUGACGGGUAGCCGGCCUGAGGGGGUGACCGGCCACAUUGGGACUGAGAUACGGCCCAGACUCCUACGGGAGGCAGCAGUUGGGAAUAUUGCACAAUGGGCGGAAGCCUGAUGCAGCAACGCCGCGUUCGGGAUGACGGCCUUCGGGUUGUAAACCGCUUUCGCCUGUGACGAAGCGUGAGUGACGGUAAUGUGUAAAGAAGCACCGGCUAACUACGUG
rnacentral:rRNA from 1 species